GGGUCUAGUGGCGGACGGGUGAGUAACGCGUGGGAACGUGCCCAAAGGUACGGAAUAGCCUCGGGAAACUGGGAGUAAUACCGUAUGUGCCCUUCGGGGGAAAGAUUUAUCGCCAAAGGAUUGGCCCGCGUUGGAUUAGGUAGUUGGUGGGGUAAUGGCCUACCAAGCCGACGAUCAGUAGCUGGUCUGAGAGGAUGAUCAGCCACACUGGAACUGAGACACGGUCCAGACUCC
rnacentral:rRNA from 1 species